GGCUGAGAGUACCUGAAGAAUAAGCACCGGCUAACUACGUGCCAGCAGCCGCGGUAAUACGUAGGGUGCAAGCGUUAAUCGGAAUUACUGGGCGUAAAGCGUGCGCAGGCGGACUUUUAAGCCAGAUGUGAAAGCCCCGAGCUUAACUUGGGAAUUGCGUUUGGAACUGGGAGUCUAGAGUCUGUCAGAGGGGGAUGGAAUUCCACGUGUAUCAGUGAAAUGCGUAGAGAUGUGGAGGAACACCGAUGGCGAAGGCAGUCCCCUGGGAUAAGACUGACGCUCAUGCACGAAAGCGUGGGGAGCAAACAGGAUUAGAUACCCUGGUAGUCCACGCCCUAAACGAUGUCUACUAGUUGUUGGGGUAGCAAUACCUCAGUGACGCAGCUAACGCGUGAAGUAGACCGCCUGGGGAGUACGGUCGCAAGAUUAAAACUCAAAGGAAUUGAC
rnacentral:rRNA from 1 species